rnacentral:rRNA from 1 species
AAGAUUAAUUACCCAAAGAAGGGCUCGCGUCCGAUUAGCUAGUUGGAGUGGUAAGAGCACACCAAGGCGACGAUCGGUAGCUGGUCUGAGAGGAUGACCAGCCACACUGGGACUGAGACACGGCCCAGACUCCUACGGGAGGCAGCAGUGGGGAAUUUUCCGCAAUGGGCGAAAGCCUGACGGAGCAAGACCGCGUGAGGGAGGAAGGCUCUUGGGUUGUAAACCUCUUUUCUUUGGGAAGAAGCACUGACGGUACCAAAGGAAUCAGCAUCGGCUAACUCCGUGCCAGCAGCCGCGGUAAUACGGAGGAUGCAAGCGUUAUCCGGAAUCAUUGGGCGUAAAGCGUCCGCAGGUGGCGGCUCAAGUCGGCUGUCAAAGACAGUGGCUCAACUACUGAAAGGCAGUGGAAACUGAACAGCUAGAGGCAGGUAGGGGCAGAGGGAAUUCCCGGUGUAGCGGUGAAAUGCGUAGAGAUCGGGAAGAACACCAGUGGCGAAAGCGCUCUGCUGGACCUGGACUGACACUGAGGGACGAAAGCUAGGGGAGCGAAUGGGAUUAGAUACCCCAGUAGUCCUAGCCGUAAACGAUGGAGACUAGGUGUUGCCCGUAUCGACCCGGGCAGUGCCGCAGCUAACGCGUU